AUGCAAGGUUAAGCAGUAAAUGUGGAGCCGUAGCGAAAGCGAGUCUGAAUAGGGCGUUUAGUAUUUGGUCGUAGACCCGAAACCAGGUGAUCUACCCUUGGUCAGGUUGAAGUUCAGGUAACACUGAAUGGAGGACCGAACCGACUUACGUUGAAAAGUGAGCGGAUGAACUGAGGGUAGCGGAGAAAUUCCAAUCGAACCUGGAGAUAGCUGGUUCUCUCCGAAAUAGCUUUAGGGCUAGCCUCAAGUGAUGAUUAUUGGAGGUAGAGCACUGUUUGGACGAGGGGCCCCUCUCGGGUUACCGAAUUCAGACAAACUCCGAAUGCCAAUUAAUUUAACUUGGGAGUCAGAACAUGGGUGAUAAGGUCCGUGUUCGAAAGGGAAACAGCCCAGACCACCAGCUAAGGUCCCAAAAUAUAUGUUAAGUGGAAAAGGAUGUGGCGUUGCCCAGACAACUAGGAUGUUGGCUUAGAAGCAGCCAUCAUUUAAAGAGUGCGUAAUAGCUCACUAGUCGAGUGACACUGCGCCGAAAAUGUACCGGGGCUAAACAUAUUACCGAAGCUGUGGAUUGUCCUUUGGACAAUGGUAGGAGAGCGUUCUAAGGGCGUUGAAGCAUGAUCGUAAGGACAUGUGGAGCGCUUAGAAGUGAGAAUGCCGGUGUGAGUAGCGAAAGACGGGUGA
rnacentral:rRNA from 1 species